rnacentral:rRNA from 1 species
AGAGUUUGAUCCUGGCUCAGGAUGAACGCUAGCUACAGGCUUAACACAUGCAAGUCGAGGGGAAACGACAUCGAAAGCUUGCUUUUGAUGGGCGUCGACCGGCGCACGGGUGAGUAACGCGUAUCCAACCUGCCCACCACUUGGGGAUAACCUUGCGAAAGUAAGACUAAUACCCAAUGACGUCUCUAGAAGACAUCUGAAAGAGAUUAAAGAUUUAUCGGUGAUGGAUGGGGAUGCGUCUGAUUAGCUUGUUGGCGGGGUAACGGCCCACCAAGGCAACGAUCAGUAGGGGUUCUGAGAGGAAGGUCCCCCACAUUGGAACUGAGACACGGUCCAAACUCCUACGGGAGGCAGCAGUGAGGAAUAUUGGUCAAUGGACGAGAGUCUGAACCAGCCAAGUAGCGUGCAGGAUGACGGCCCUAUGGGUUGUAAACUGCUUUUAUAAGGGAAUAAAGUGAGUCUCGUGAGACUUUUUGCAUGUACCUUAUGAAUAAGGACCGGCUAAUUCCGUGCCAGCAGCCGCGGUAAUACGGAAGGUCCGGGCGUUAUCCGGAUUUAUUGGGUUUAAAGGGAGCGUAGGCCGGAGAUUAAGCGUGUUGUGAAAUGUAGACGCUCAACGUCUGCACUGCAGCGCGAACUGGUUUCCUUGAGUACGCACAAAGUGGGCGGAAUUCGUGGUGUAGCGGUGAAAUGCUUAGAUAUCACGAAGAACUCCGAUUGCGAAGGCAGCUCACUGGAGCGCAACUGACGCUGAAGCUCGAAAGUGCGGGUAUCGAACAGGAUUAGAUACCCUGGUAGUCCGCACGGUAAACGAUGGAUGCCCGCUGUUGGUCUGAAUAGGUCAGCGGCCAAGCGAAAGCAUUAAGCAUCCCACCUGGGGAGUACGCCGGCAACGGUGAAACUCAAAGGAAUUGACGG